CUUCAAAAAUCCCUUGAUUGAAAAGAAAGUUUCCUUUUGAUCCAUCUAUUCAGAAACAGUGAACGAUGCUGGUUGCUGUGGAAAUGAUUAUGAUGUCAGAGAGGAUGGUGACUUCUCGUAAGGGACAAGCAGAAAGAACAGAUGUGCUCAUAAGAAACAAAGAUCUUGUUUCCAUACAAACGUUCUCAGCAAUAAAGCACAAAAGAGGGAAAAUAUCGACUGCCCAGAAGACGAGAAAAAAAAGCUUCUAAAUAGAGUAUUUACAAAGUUCUUCAUCAAAUCCUCAGCUGCUCCUCAAAGCAGCUCUAACUUGGACAGUGGACAUGAAUUCCUUCAAUCUCGGGCCUUUCACUGUUGAGAAUCUUCUUUUGGACAUGUGCCAGCUUGCCAGUAUCUUUCCUAAAUGUGGAAAGCAAAACUGAACACAAUAAUCCAGACAUUGCUCCUCAAAACAGGACUUAGCAGAUAUACAUAAGGAUGACCAAGAAGAUGACAGCCCAUUGUUUCUCACUGGAAUAAAUUUUUAAUGGGUCACUUUUAAGAUGAUAGUAAUAAUGAUCUGAAUAAGUAAAUCAAACAAGUAAUUUCUUUUAAAUGAUUGGGUCAGUAUUGACUUGACCAGCUUGUUCUCUUGAGAGGAAAAAUUACUUACAGCAAUGGUUAUCCACAUUUGUGAUCUACAUCUAGCACAAUAAAUAAAUUCAGAAAAUGUCUAAAGAUUUA